rnacentral:rRNA from 1 species
GACGAACGCUGGCGGCGUGCCUAAUACAUGCAAGUCGAACGCACUCUCGUUUAGAUUGAAGGAGCUUGCUCCUGAUUGAUAAACAUUUGAGUGAGUGGCGGACGGGUGAGUAACACGUGGGUAACCUGCCCUAAAGUGGGGGAUAACAUUUGGAAACAGAUGCUAAUACCGCAUAAAACCUAACACCGCAUGGUGUAGGGUUGAAAGAUGGUUUCGGCUGUCACUUUAGGAUGGACCCGCGGUGCAUUAGUUAGUUGGUGAGGUAAAGGCUCACCAAGACCGUGAUGCAUAGCCGACCUGAGAGGGUAAUCGGCCACACUGGGACUGAGACACGGCCCAGACUCCUACGGGAGGCAGCAGUAGGGAAUCUUCCACAAUGGACGAAAGUCUGAUGGAGCAACGCCGCGUGAGUGAAGAAGGUUUUCGGAUCGUAAAACUCUGUUGUUGGAGAAGAAUGUAUCUGAUAGUAACUGAUCAGGUAGUGACGGUAUCCAACCAGAAAGCCAACGG